UAAACUGAUGGCUCCUAAUACCAAGAUGGU
rnacentral:piRNA from 1 species